CGAGCGGCAGCGCGGGGGCAACCCUGGCGGCGAGCGGCGAACGGGUGAGUAACACAUCGGAACGUACCCAGUGGUGGGGGAUAGCCCGGCGAAAGCCGGAUUAAUACCGCAUACGACCUGAGGGUGAAAGUGGGGGACCGCAAGGCCUCACGCCGUUGGAGCGGCCGAUGUCGGAUUAGCUAGUUGGUGGGGUAAAGGCCUACCAAGGCGACGAUCCGUAGCUGGUCUGAGAGGACGACCAGCCACACUGGAACUGAGACACGGUCCAGACUCCUACGGGAGGCAGCAGUGGGGAAUUUUGGACAAUGGGCGCAAGCCUGAUCCAGCCAUUCCGCGUGAGUGAAGAAGGCCUUCGGGUUGUAAAGCUCUUUCGGCAGGGAAGAAACGGUGCGGGUGAAUACCCCGCAUUAAUGACGGUACCUGAAGAAGAAGCGCCGGCUAACUACGUGCCAGCAGCCGCGGUAAUACGUAGGGUGCGAGCGUUAAUCGGAAUUACUGGGCGUAAAGCGUGCGCAGGCGGUUUCGUAAGACAGAUGUGAAAUCCCCGGGCUCAACCUGGGAACUGCGUUUGUGACUGCGAGACUCGAGUGCGGCAGAGGGGGGUGGAAUUCCACGUGUAGCAGUGAAAUGCGUAGAGAUGUGGAGGAACACCGAUGGCGAAGGCAGCCCCCUGGGUCGACACUGACGCUCAUGCACGAAAGCGUGGGGAGCAAAC
rnacentral:rRNA from 1 species